rnacentral:rRNA from 1 species
UACGUAGGGGGCUAGCGUUGUCCGGAAUCAUUGGGCGUAAAGAGCGCGUAGGCGGCCAGAUAAGUCCGGUGUGAAAGUCACAGGCUCAACCUGUGAAUGCCGCUGGAAACUGUCUGGCUAGAGUCCGGGAGGGGCGAGUGGAAUUCCUGGUGUAGCGGUGAAAUGCGUAGAUAUACGGAGGAACACCAGCGGCGAAGGCGGGUAGCUGGGCCAACACUGACGCUGAUGCGCGAAAGCUAGGGGAGCAAACGGG